UACGUAGGGUGCGAGCGUUGUCCGGAAUUAUUGGGCGUAAAGGGCUCGUAGGCGGUUUGUCGCGUCGGGAGUGAAAAUCCAGGGCUUAACUCUGGACUGGCUUCCGAUACGGGCAGACUAGAGGUAUGUAGGGGAGACGUGAAUUCCUGGUGUAGCGGUGAAAUGCGCAGAUAUCAGGAGGAACACCGGAGUGGCGAAGGCGGUCUCUGGGCAUUAACCUGACGCUGAGGAGCGAAAGUGCAGGUGGGAGCGAACAGG
rnacentral:rRNA from 1 species